ensembl:lncRNA
GUCUCCUCCAGGCCCUGAGAGUCACCCAGCAUCUCACACACGGCAAAUGUUCUCUGCUCUUCAGUAUGAUUGACAGUUUGUGGCGUCCUUCGGUUGAUCCAAAAUCUCAUGACGAUCUGCUGCAGUCUCCCAGCAAGAUUCCUCCUGGAUAGCGGCAGUCUGAUGUCAAAACAACCGCCAUGCUGCAUCCUUAACCAAAUAACAUAA